rnacentral:misc_RNA from 1 species
GAUGAAGACGCAGCGAAAUGCGAUAAGUAAUGUGAAUUGCAGAAUUCCGUGAAUCAUCGAAUCUUUGAACGCACAUUGCGCCCGCCAGUAUUCUGGCGGGCAUGCCUGUCCGAGCGUCAUUUCAACCCUCGAACCCCUCCGGGGGGUCGGCGUUGGGGACCUCGGGAGCCCCUAAGACGGGAUCCCGGCCCCGAAAUACAGUGGCGGUCUCGCCGCAGCCUCUCCUGCGCAGUAGUUUGCACAACUCGCACCGGGAGCGCGGCGCGUCCACGUCCGUAAAACACCCAACUUCUGAAAUGUUGACCUCGGAUCAGGUAGGAAUACCCGCUGAACUUAAGCAUAUCAAUAAGCGGAGGA